rnacentral:misc_RNA from 1 species
AUUUUUCCUUCUGUUCUCUCUACCAUUCAGAUCUGAAUUCUUGCAUAAAAACUCACCAUAAACUGAUCAUAAUUAAUCUCUUCAACCUUCACUCAGACAUAUUACAAUCCCUGACAGAGUAUAUUUUAAAUAGAUUGCCAUUUUGUCCCAUUUUUCUCACAGAAAAAGAAGCAAUGAUGCCAAAAAGUUGUGAAAUAUCAGAAAUAGGCAA